rnacentral:misc_RNA from 1 species
GAUGAAGAACGCAGCGAAAUGCGAUAAUUAAUGUGAAUUGCAGAAUUUAGUGAAUCAUCGAAUCUUUGAACGCACAUUGCGCCCGCCAGUAUUCUGGCGGGCAUGCCUGUUCGAGCGUCAUUUCAACCAUCAAGCCCCCGGCUUGUGUUGGGGACCUGCGGCUGCCGCAGGCCCUGAAAACCAGUGGCGGGCUCGCUAGUCACUCCGAGCGUAGUAAUACAUCUCGCUCAGGGCGUGCUGCGGGUUCCGGCCGUUAAAAAAGCCUUAUUUACCCAAGGUUGACCUCGGAUCAGGUAGGAAGACCCGCUGAACUUAAGCAUAUCAAUAAGCGGAGGA